rnacentral:rRNA from 1 species
AACGCGUUAAGUGUUCCGCCUGGGGAGUACGCACGCAAGUGCGAAACUCAAAGGAAUUGACGGGGGCCCGCACAAGCGGUGGAGUAUGUGGUUUAAUUCGAUGCAACGCGAAGAACCUUACCAGGGUUUGACAUCCUGCGAAUCCCUUGGAAACGAGGGAGUGCCUUCGGGAGCGCAGUGACAGGUGGUGCAUGGCUGUCGUCAGCUCGUGUCGUGAGAUGUUGGGUUAAGUCCCGCAACGAGCGCAACCCACGUCUUUAGUUGCCAGCAUUUAGUUGGGCACUCUAGAGAGACCGCCGGUGAUAAACCGGAGGAAGGUGUGGAUGACGUCAAGUCAUCAUGCCCCUUACAUCCUGGGCUACACACGUACUACAAUGCUACGGACAAAGGGCAGCAAACUCGCGAGAGCUAGCAAAUCCCAUAAACCGUGGCUCAGUUCAGAUCGUAGGCUGCAACUCGCCUACGUGAAGGAGGAAUCGCUAGUAAUCGCAGGUCAGCAUACUGCGGUGAAUACGUUCCCGGGCCUUGUACACACCGCCCGUCACACCAUGGAAGUUGGCCACGCCCGAAGUCGUUACUCCAACCUGUGG